rnacentral:rRNA from 1 species
UGGGGAAUAUUGCACAAUGGGCGAAAGCCUGAUGCAGCAACGCCGCGUGAGCGAUGAAGGCCUUCGGGUCGUAAAGCUCUGUCCUCAAGGAAGAUAAUGACGGUACUUGAGGAGGAAGCCCCGGCUAACUACGUGCCAGCAGCCGCGGUAAUACGUAGGGGGCAAGCGUUAUCCGGAAUUAUUGGGCGUAAAGAGUGCGUAGGUGGUUACCUAAGCAGGGGGUGAAAGGCAAUGGCUCAACCAUUGUUAGCCCCCUGAACUGGGCUACUUGAGUGCAGGAGAGGAAAGCGGAAUUCCUAGUGUAGCGGUGAAAUGCGUAGAUAUUAGGAGGAACACCAGUGGCGAAGGCGGCUUUCUGG